UACGUAGGGUGCAAGCGUUGUCCGGAAUUAUUGGGCGUAAAGCGCGCGCAGGCGGUUUCUUAAGUCUGAUGUGAAAGCCCACGGCUCAACCGUGGAGGGUCAUUGGAAACUGGGAGACUUGAGUGCAGAAGAGGAGAGUGGAAUUCCACGUGUAGCGGUGAAAUGCGUAGAGAUGCGGAGGAACACCGAUGGCGAAGGCAGCCCCCUGGGCCAAUACUGACGCUCAGGCACGAAAGCGUGGGGAGCAAACAGG
rnacentral:rRNA from 1 species